UACUCCGCUAGUAAUAACAGCCUCAGCGCUCGGUCCAAUGGCGGGCUUGUCGCUGCGGCGGUGCCGCGCUGCCGGUCUCCUCUCCGUCUGAUCGCUUUGGCAACGAUUCUAUGCUCGGGGACAAUUAGGAAUUGCUAAUACCUGCACUGCCAGGAAAGCUGGGUCCCACUAAACAGGCUAACUUCUAGGGAACCCUACACGAGAAUGCCCGCGUAACACAGACAAAUGCUGGAGGAACUCAACAGAUCUGGCUGCGACAAUGGAAGGGAAGAAAUAGUCGAUGUUUCGGGCCAAGGUCCUUCACCAGGACUGGAAAGGAAGGGGGAAGAAACCAGAAUAAGGUGGUGGGUGGAGGGGAAGAAAUACAAGCUAGAAAGUGAUAGGUGAAGCCAGGUGGGUGGGGGAGGUGGAUGAAGUGAGAGGCUGGUAGGUGAUGGGUGGAAAAGGUAAAGGGCUGAAGAAGAAGGAAUCUGAUAGAAGAGGAGAGUGGACUAUGGGAGAAAAGGAAAGAAGAGGGGCAUUGGGGAGGUGAUAGGUGAGAUAGUUAGGUUAGGUUAGAAAGGGGAGGAGGAAAAAUUGCUGGAAAUUAGAGGAAACGAUGUAGUCCCUUUGCACCUCUGAAUUUUCUCCCUGUUUAAAAGAAAAGUUUUACACCUUUAUUCCUUCUAGCACUGUGCAUGACCUACAUUUCCCUACACUUUAUUUUAUUGUGUCAUUUCCUUGCCCAUUCUCCUAAUCUGUCUAAAUCCUUUGCAGAUUCCGUGCUUCCUUAACUCUAUGUAUCUCCGCAUACCUUUGUAUCAUCCACAAACUUGGCCACGAAGAAAUCAUUCCAUCAUUCAAAUCAUUGACAUAUAACAUGAAAAGAAGCAGUCUCAACAAUGACCCCUGUGGAACACCACUCAUCAGUGGAUGCCAACCAGGAAAGGUUCCAGUUAUUCCCUCUCCUGUCAAUCAGUUAAUCUAUCCAUGCAAGAAUCUUUCCGUGGACUCUUGUUUACACCAUCUGCUCCUCACUGGCAAUCAGUAUUGGUGCAUUUCAGGGAUACAUGCCUAGCCUACUAUUCUAUCUCUCUACACCCAUGACUGUGGCUAGGCACAGCUCAAAUGGCUUCUAUAAAUUUGUAGAUGACACGACUGUUGGCAGAAUCUCAGCUGAUGACAAGGUGGCAAACUGAGUGAGAUAGAUCAAGCAAUUGAAUAAUGUUGCAACCACAAUCUUGGAUUUGGUAAGUCUAAGGAAUUGAUUGUGGCCUUCAGGAAGGAGAAGUCAAACACACAUUAAGGGGUCAGCAGGGGAAAGGGUGUGUAGUUUCAAGUUCCUGAUCUCUAAAAAUCUUUACUGGCCAGUAAUGAAGCAGCUAUAUUUUAUUAGAGUUUGAGGAGAUUUCCCCAGAUGUAGCAUUCUAACUCGUUGCAUCAUUGUCUGGUAUGGAAGGACAGAAAACACUGAAAAUUUUAUGUAGACCCCCACCUCUUAAAAAGUGGAAGUAAUGCAGUGGUCAGUAUAAGAAGGAAAUUAGAAAUGCUUAUAACAAGGACAAUACAGCAAUCACAUGAGUAUUUAAAAUGCUGUACAUAUGGACCAAGCAAAUGGAAUGGGCAGCAAUAUUGGAGUGGAUGGAAGUGUUGUGUAUAAAAAUGGUUCUGUAGGUGACUACGUUGAAGAAUCAAUGAGAAAAUGAGUUAUUUUAAAUCUAGUAUUGUUUCAUGCAAAAGGUUUAAUAGAUCUAGAGAUGAAUGUGUUCACAGAACAUGGAUCACAAUACAAGUUUUAUAUAAAAAUUGAGAGUGAUUUACUUCAGUCUGAAACCAGGGUCUGAAAUGAAUAGUGCAAAUUUCAAAGAUUGGUGUGAGUGAGUUGACGAUGAUAGAAUGGAUAAUUACAUUAAAUGUUAUGACAGUGAGCAAGUAAUGUUUAAUGUUAGAAAGAAUAAUAUUUAAUUUACAAGUUUAUGACUGAUCCAGUGAUAGAUAUUGAAAAAUCAAAGGUAUUGUUAGAUUUAAGGAAAAGGUGUUUAAUUUUCUGAGGAAGUAGGAAACGUAUUUCAGAAUUCACAAAAGGAGGAGAAGGAAAAGAAACUGAAAGAAAUUAGUAACAUGAGAUUCUGCAGACAUUAAAAGUAUUAGUACUGGAGAAAUUAAUAGGACUGAAAUGGGAUAAAUCCCCUGUUACUACUGAACUGUAUUAUAAGGGCUUGAAGGUGAAUUUGGAGAUGGAUAUUAUUGAAAAUAUUUCAGAACUUUAAAAAUUAGGGCAGGAGGAGAGAGAAAAGCAUUAUAGAUCUGUUCACCUGACUUUAAUAUUGGGAGAAGUUGGGCAUUAUUAAGGAAGUAGUAAUGGAACACUUGGAACAUAAUAGUACUGAUAGAAUCCACAUAGAUCUGUGAAAGAAAAAUCAUAUUUAACAAAUCUCUUAGUGUUUACUAACAGAACAGGUAAGGUGCCACAGAAGAGAUCAUUAAAUAAAACUAGAGUGUAUGAUAUUUGGGCAAUAUACUGGGGUUGACUGAAAAUUAGUUAAUCGCGUCGGUGACUGACACUGGUGCCUCAGCUCUUUGCAAUUGAUAUGAAUGAUUUGGAUGAGGGGGGUCUGUGCUUGGAAAGGGCUCAUCAAGUUGUGUUAAGCUAGUCUGAUUCAUGAGAAGGCUGCAGAGUAGCUUUGGAAUGGAAGGAUAUUCUGUAUGUAAUCGUCAUUGAGAAGGUGAUAGUGAGCCACCAUCUUGAACUGCUGGUGGAAGUGUUACUUAGAAGGGAAUUCAUUUAUUUAGACCCAGUAAUGAUAAAACAGUUGUACUACAUUUCCAAAUUAGGAAGGUCUCACUUGGAAGGGAGCUUGUGCCUUUGCCCUUGUCUUCUUUAGUAGUAGUUACUGUCUGUUUGGCAGUUGCCCCUGACAGAUGUCAAGCUGAGAACCAUGAAGGGGAGGAGCUCUUACAUGACUGAAAUUUGAAUCAGUUGACUGCAUCAUAUUCGGGGAUUCAUCUUCAGUUCUAAAUCAUUAUGCCAUAGCCUCAGUGAUUUCAAUAAGACUGCGUGGGUGAGUGUGUGCCUUUGGGAACAUGACUCUUCCCAAACCAGUAGUGCUAAAUGAGCCAGAAAAUUAAUAAUCUGUGAAGAAUUAGUUCAGUGGUGUUCAAGACCAGUGAACUAGAACCCUACCAGAAGUCCAGAUAUGACUCACAGAAGGCCAUGUGAGAGUGAAAGGGCAAUUUCUAGUGAAGUUAGAGACAUUAAUACAGAACAGCUGUGGUUGAGUUUGCAUGCCUACAAGGCAGAACCUAACAGCAUAAAUAGCAGUAAAGCUUCACUCCCUGAAGAGCUCAAUGCCUUUUAUGCAUGCUUUAAGAGGGAGAAUAACACUAUACCUGUGCAAGUCCCACAGCAUCUGACAACCCUGUGACCUUUGCUUUCAAGGAAUAUCCUUCAAGAUGGAGAUCCCUCACAAGGCAUCAGGUGCCAUCAGUGGAUCUGGCAGGGUGCUGAAAAUCAGUACUGACCAAUGGAAUGUUCCGGGAUAUCUUUAGCCUCUCACUGCUGUAGUUGGAGGUUCCCACCUGCUUCAGAGGAUAUCAACCAUAGCAGUGCCCAAGAAGAAUAGGGUGAGCUGGUUCAAAACCUGGCACCCAGUAGCACUCACAUCUGCUGUGAUGAAGUACUUUGAGAGGUUGGUCAUGGCUAGAUUAACUCUUGCCUGAGCAAGGACAUGGACAAGCUGCAAUUUGCCUGUUACAGGCCAACAGUGUACGGAAUCUCAAUGAUUCUACACUCAGCUUUGGAACACCGGGACAGCAACAAAAUAUGGUUCAGACAGCUGUUUAUUGAUUAAAUCUUGGUGUUCAACAUCAUCAUCUUCUCAGUACCAAUCUCCCAGUGAUGGAAGUGUUACGAUGUCUAUAAGAGGAUCAUAAGUGGCAUGAUGCAGUUUGACAUAUUCUUGGAAAGAAAGGUUGAUCCUAUGUCUGAGUCUGAGCAAGGUGCACCGUUUACUCCCUGGUGUUUGGAAGGACGAGAGGUAUUUUCAUAAAAAUACGAGAUUUUGUGGAAGGUUGACAUAGUCCCCGCAGUUUUAGAGCUCACUGCUCCAUAGGUACUGUCAAAGACUAUGCUUUCAUCAGGAGAAAGUCUGAUUCAGUAUUUGUGCUGACCAGAGUUGGCAGGAGCAGGGGCAAGUGGUACUUCUUUGAAUUAACUCAGCAUUCAAAUUAAUCUCUAGCACACUGCAAGGAAAGUGGAGAGCACUGCUCAGUGAAUCUCCCAAUUCAACAUUUUGACUUUCCUGUAGUCUUCACAAAGCUGAUCUGCAACACAGUUUUAAAUGUUACUGCAAUGGUUCCUUUUGGUGAAUAUGAAGUUCGUGUCUUCUGUUGGCUGUAGACAAGAAUGCUGGAUAUAGCAGAUUCUUCAGUGACUGUAGCACAGCUCAAUGUUCAACAUAUCAUACCUUCUGUACUAACCAAGAAGCUCCAAAACCUGGGCCCCUGCAUUUCCCGCUGCAAUUGGAUCCUUGUCUUCCUCAUCAGGAGACCACAACAAGUUCAGAUCAGAAAUAACAUCUGCUCCUCGCUGACAGUCAACACCAAUACAUCUCAAGGAUGUGUGCUUAGUCAAAUACUCUACUCUCUCUAAACGCACCAGUCUUUAUCGAGGGAUCAGCAAUGGAAAGGGUGAGUAGUUUCAAAUUCCUGGCUGUCAGUCCUGGGCCCAACAUAUUGAUGCAAUUACAAAGAAGGCUUGACAAUGGUUAUUCUUCAUUGAGGAGAUUUGGUAUGUCAACAAAGAUUCACAAAUUUCUACAGAAAUACCAUGGAGAGCAUUCUAACUGGUUGCAUCACCGUCUGGUAUGGAGGCACAACUGCAUAAAAUUGUGGAUCAGCCAGCUCCAUCAUUAGCACUAACCUUUGCAGAAUUGAGGACAUUUUUAAAAAGAUGAUGCCUCAAAAAGGUGGCAUCCAUCAUUAAGGACUCCCAUCACAUGCCCUCUUCUCGUUGCUGUCAUCGAGAACGAGGUACAGGAGCAUGAAGACACAGACUCACCAUUUUAGGAACAGCUUCUCCGCCAUCAGUUUUCUGAAUGGACAAUGAAUCCAUGUACACUACCUCACAAAUAUUUUCCCUCUUUCUGCACUACUUAUUGCAAUUUACAGAGUUUUUAUUAUAUAUUGUACUAUAUUGCUGCCUCAAGACAAAAUAUUUCUCUAUAUGCCAGUGAUUUUAAAAAAAAUGAUUCUGAGAUGUACCAAAGAUGCAUCAUUAUUUAUAUCACUUUCAGCAUUUCCAGGAUCUUUCCUGCUCUAGGUUAUCUUUCAUUUCUGGAAGUGUUACAAUAAAUGUUACAACUUUGAACAUUGGUCUGGAAUAUCUUUUGCAUUUAUAGCAUUGGUGUUUUUGCAAAUAAUUUAUGUGCCUUAAAGUCAGACCGUGAAGGCCUUUGAGCAAAUUGUUUCUUUGUUACACUUGGUUUUUGAGAAGGGAAAGGAGAGGUUUGCAGACUCCACGUUUCACCCCAGCAAUUUACAUUGCAGUAAAAAAAGUGCUUUUUGAAUAUCUACUCUGACAUCUUUUUAAUGUAUUUUUUUGGCAUAUUGGUGAUUUAAAUCAUAUUUUAAAAUUAAAAGUUUGCAAGUUACUGUAUCUGAAAUGCAUUAUGGUGGUGAUAUGAUUAGAAACAAAAUAUUUUAAAUCUGUUUUCAGCAUUUUCUUUCCUUUGGCCUCAUUCAUGUUUAUUCUAAUGAGAUAGGAAAUGUACUUGUGCAUAGCUAGGUAUCUUCAAAUUGGGGUAAUGUUGGGUGGUCUCAGAUUGAAGUUCAAGAGAGCAUUCAAAAGGGGAAAUGCCAUGGAUUCAAGAGAUGUAAGCGAUGUUUUUACAGAAGAAUAUUUAAACAGUUUGUGCAAGUUAAAGUGAUGCAACCUUCAGAAGUAUUUAAUAACACUGACAACCCCCUGAUGUAAAACAAAAUGAAAAGAACAGUUGAAAGAAGAACAUUGGAUUAUGCAUUUUUCUGUCGUGUAGUUUCAGAGAAAAGUGCUUUGGAUAAAUUCUUGGUUCAGAAUUAAAAAACUGUGUAGUGUUUUCUCCUUUAAAUUGUAACCAAAUGAAAAUAAAUCCAUGUGACUUUAAAAGAUAUGAAAAAUCUGUAACUGUACAAUGUGAGUGUGUCUGUGAGAGAUACUGUAUUUUAUGGCUCUCUAAAUGAUGCUUGAAGAUGAAUGUAGGAUCAGGCAGAAUUGGGAGCAUCCUUUUGAAUCGAGGGGAAGUGGACAGUGAAUUUGUGUGUGGAAGUUUCAUUCUUUACUGUCUGUAGUUUUAGAAGUUAUUCUAGUAAUAAAAGUGGGAAGAGAUUUCCUCCUGUACUAAAAAGACAUUUUACAAAGAAAGUUACAAAACUAGAGAGAUAACUGUCAAUUUUCUUCAAAAACUUCCUUUAAGGUUUCCUAGGGUUUAGCUGAUCAUCCUCAUUGGUUGGAGAGUAAUUUUUGACACUGGUUCUUGAAAUGACCACACACUUGAAUGUUUUUUUUUGUUUCACCUGUUCCAGAUAUUUAUACUUUAGAUAUUCAUACAAUAAAAAUACUUUUAUUA